AGAAAAGUCAGGGCAGGGCGGGCACGUUCGUGGGCUGGCUCAGCCAAACACCCGUGUGUGCAUGAAAUUAGAGUGUCAACAUUUGAUUCAUGCUGCCGGCUGGUGACUGUGAAACAAAUUAUGUCAGCGGGUGGCAAAACUGCACUGCAGCAGCAGACAGUGGACGUCAUAAGCGAUUCUGACUUGAACCUGAGUGUGGGAAACCAGCAGAGACAAUCGAGCUGCGUUAAUGAAGACGACAUCCUCAUCUUCUCCCGCUCUCCUGAAGAACAUCGCCAUCAUGUCCGCCAAUCAUGUCCGUCCUCUCCCAGCGGGACCCCGAAUCCCAGAAGUUGCAUCUUUGUGCCUUCUUUUCCCGUCGCCUUUCCCCAUCCAAAAGGAAUUACGACGUGGGGAAUCAUGAGCUGCUGGCCAUCGUCUGGGCCCUGGAGGAGUGGAGGCACUGGCUGGAGGGGACCGUUUCUCCUUUUAUUAUAUGGACUGAUCAUACAAAUCUCGCCUAUCUCCAUUCUGCUAAACGUCUUAACCCCAACACGCUCGGUGGGCCCUUUUUCUGAGGCAGUUCAACUUCAGCUUCUCCUUCCACCCUGGUUCCCUAACCCUAACCUCUUGCAUGUACUCACCCCCAUCCAGCCCCUUUGAACCUGAAUCCAUCCUUCCUUCCUCCUGCUUCGUUGGGGCAGCCACUUGGGAGAUUGAGCCGGUAGUUAAAAAUGAUCAGACAACCCAACUGGAUCCCAAGACUGGACCUCCUGACCGGCCAUUUGUACCCAAUUCGGCACGUUCUGACGUCCUUCAGUGGGCCCACAAUUCAAAACUCACGUCAUCCCGAAUCACCCGCACCAUCCAAUUCAUACAACAGCACUUCUGGUUGCCCAGCCUAGGGAAAGAGACCCGGGAGUUCAUCCGAGCCUGCUCCGUCUGUGCCCAAGGGAAGACUUCACAUCUGCCCCCAGCUGGUCUGCUGCGCCACUUACCUAUCCCGAGCCGCCCUUGGUCCCACAUUGCCUUGGACUACCUCCCUCUGAAGUCCAACGGCCAGACGGAGCAGGCAAAUCAGAAUCUGGAGUCGGCUCUUCGCUGCGUUACGGCACGCAAUCCCACCUCCUGGAGCACCUUUCUCCCAUGGAUUUAAUAUGCACACAACUCCCUCACCAGCUCCGCCACAGGUAUGUCUCCUUUCAUGGCAUGUUACGGUUUCCAACCUCAGUUGAUUAAGGAACAGGAGCAUACUGUGGCGUUCCCGCGGUGAGGGAUCCCCUGCGACCCCGUCUGUUUGGAAGGACGUCAGGGUGACUCUGACUCGGUCUGCCGAGAGGAAUAAGCGACUGGCGGAUCUUCGAUGCUC